AGAGUUUGAUCCUGGCUCAGAUUGAACGCUGGCGGCAUGCCUUACACAUGCAAGUCGAACGGCAGCGCGGGGCAACCUGGCGGCGAGUGGCGAACGGGUGAGUAAUAUAUCGGAACGUACCCUGGAGUGGGGGAUAACGUAGCGAAAGUUACGCUAAUACCGCAUAUGAUCUAAGGAUGAAAGUGGGGGAUCGCAAGACCUCAUGCUCCUGGAGCGGCCGAUAUCUGAUUAGCUAGUUGGCGGGGUAAAAGCCCACCAAGGCAACGAUCAGUAGCUGGUCUGAGAGGACGACCAGCCACACUGGAACUGAGACACGGUCCAGACUCCUACGGGAGGCAGCAGUGGGGAAUUUUGGACAAUGGGCGCAAGCCUGAUCCAGCAAUGCCGCGUGAGUGAAGAAGGCCUUC
rnacentral:rRNA from 1 species